CACAAGUUCUGUGCUCAACUUCGCCGCUCUUAAAGAGACCCGGGAUCCCUCUGGAGAGGCCCUCGGGAGCUGGCGGCAGGGCUGGGAGAGGCGUGGGGAUGGCUAUGCCAGGUAAAACUGGCUCAUCUCAACCUAUCUUUUGAGUACCACUACCUGCCAAAGGGUCAUAGAAGAGGUUGCUGCUUGCUACACUUUACAUCAAUGAAGAAUGGAUCCCUCUGGACUGAGAAGGCUCAGGAAGCUUACAGUACGUGCUUGGAAUUUCUCAUGCCGAAGACUGAAUCGACUCUACAGGCAGCAAACACAACAUACAAAAGACAACGAUGACAUCCAAAACUCUAUGACAACAGAUUAUUUCACAGGCUCUAAGCAAUUAAAAACAUUGCUAAGGCAGCCAGCAAGAGUGGCUCUGAGGGUCAAGGUCCUUGGGGCCAAGCUUGAGGACCUCAGUCAGAUCCCAAACCUCACUACAGAAAAGAGAACUGGCUCGUGCAAGUUGUCUUUGACCUCCGCACAAGCCAGGUAUGCUCCGGCACGCACCCCAUCACAAAUAAGUAUAAAAAAGUUUAGAAUAUUUCUAAAGGGAAAGUGUCUCUG